UUGGACCCUGGACAGAGAAACAGCACGCCUUUUUCUUAAUGUUGGGUUAAUAUUUCACGAGAUAUAUUGAAUUGGGACAGCAAAUUGGUUCAGUUGGAUUUGGUUAAUGGUGGAACGUAGACUGAUUUUGAAUCGGGUUUUGUAUAAACUUGCUCCGCGGCCGAGCGCCAAGUCAGCGACUGCGGGUUUUGCCAAGUCUUGUGUUUGUUGCGAGCGAGCUCAAGAGCUUAGCGAUCGAGUAGGCCUUGCUUCUACCGAUCAUUGUCAGCAUCUCAAGAAACCCUGAAGUCGAAAAAAUCGCGACACGAAACUAGCAGCCGCACCUGCGCAACUGAUGCGCGGGCAGCGAGCGAAAGCGGCGAAAGAACGCGAAACCCUGUUUGGGUGGCGGCGCCUGGCGGUGAACCGUUGUACUCGCGCCGACGGUCGCGCCUUUUGUUCUCCUCCCCGUCCACCAGGCACUGAAAGUUAUAGAGGAGGCACUGGCCAUUCCCACUACACAUGCCACUUGAUAGCGCCAGAGGACACAGCCUAGCGAGAAGCAGCAGCACGCUCGGGGCACGGCAGAACAUUUUUGGGGCGCCACGUAUAUUUACAACUCAGAGGAGGUUAUGGCGGCAUCAUGGGAGCCCUCAUUAGAAAGGUGCAUAGAAGCACGGUUGGGCGCGUCUACGCGUUUUGCGAACGUCUCAUUUUCUUAGUAUCCCAGUCUCUGCUAUAGGUGCAAAUUGGAAAAUCAUGUUGUCAACUCUGCCUUUUUUCCCAAUGAAGCUGACGUGGGCAUAGAAAUUCUGGCUUUCGAGGCUGGUUUGGAGCAGUUCGGCGCAAUUUUUGCGAUUUUCAUGCUUUUGGAGCAGCUUGGCGCAGGAAAACGGAAUUGUAUCAAAAAUGCGCAAUAUGCGCAGCUGUCUCACCCCUGCAAACGCACUUUUGCAGUGCUGGUCAAGCACGCUUGCAUGUAUGACUGACCUCUGUAGUUUAGAUGAACUUGUUGUUGGGCAAGUUGGUGCAUCUUAACAAAAAGUAAAACCCUGUGCAACCGCACAACCCACACAUGAGCACAGUUUGUGUGUCUGGUAUAUGUGUAUUUGUGUUUUUUCUGUGGCGGCACAGAGGAAUUUGUCAUGCUGCAACAGACGGUGGGGCAGCACCAUUGCCGUAUCAGGAGGCAACAGUUUCCUCAAUUCCGUGGAGGAAUCAUGGAGUGAAACCUAGCUCCCAACAAACGUGGCCAGCAGAUCACUGACGAGGAAGAGGAGGCUCAAGUAACACUCCUCAACCAAGCUUGGCGGGCUCAGCUGCUGAGGCCUGUGGAGCCCUGGACUGGGAACCUCACCGACAUGCUUCUCCAACCUCUUUCCUUUUACAAUAAAUAAUUCUCAGUUAAUA